CUGGUUUGCUUACUACAAAUCCCAGGGUGCACUGCAGCUUUUUCUUAACUUCAUAUUAGAACAUUGCAUGCUGGGGCUUGUAGUUGGUUUAGCUAGCA
rnacentral:miRNA from 1 species